CAGAAUGGAGCGAAUUUUAGCGAUAUUACGGAGAUGAAAGAAGGCCGUUUUAGUAACGCUUUUAAUGUGUGCCUCAAAGGAGAGAGUUGGGUCAAAGAUAAUACCCAGAUUCUUUACCGUGUCGCCUUGUUUAAUUGUUUGGUUGUCAAAUGUUAGAGUUGUAUUAUUAAAUAGAGUUUGGUGUCUAGCAGGACCGAUAAUCAGCAUUUCCGUUUUUUUGGCGAGCUACCGGUCGAUCGGGGAGGGUGUGUCAGUCGAUCGCAAGCCAGGCAUUGAAAAAAAUAGACGUAAAUAUGAGUCGCCCGUGAUUUCGGCUGACGGGUCUGCCAACUUCCAGCGCCCCUUACAAAAAAGCUGAGAUACAGGUAUAAAAUGGGAGUGUAUUAGCUAACCCUCCCCCUGGGCUUCACGGUGGCAGAGGGGUUAGUGCGUCUGCCUCACAAUACGAAGGUCCUGCAGUCCUGGGUUCAAAGCCAGGCUCGGGAUCUUUCUGUGUGGAGUUUGCAUGUUCUCCCCGUGAAUGCGUGGGUUCCCUCCGAGCUUCCUCCCACCUCCAAAGACCUGCACCUGGGGAUAGGCCCCUCCCACCUCCAAAGACAUGCACCUGGGGAUAGGCACCUCCCACCUCCAAAGACAUGCACCUGGGGAUAGGUUGAUUGGCAACACUAAAUUGGCCCUAAUGUGUGAAUGUGAGUGUGAAUGUUGUCUGUCUAUCUGUGUUGGCCCUGUGAUGAGGCGGCGACUUGUCCAGGGUGUACCCCGCCUUCCGCCCGAUUGUAGCUGAGAUAGGCGCCAGCGCCCCUCGCGACCCCAAAAAGGGAAUAAGCGGUAGAAAAUGGAUGGAUGGAACCCUCCACCUGUUGAAAGUCCCUUUUUCUUUUGUGUGUGUCGUUAUUCUAUCGUUUCCACGGGGGCGUCACACAUAAGCGAGCCAUUAGUCUUUAAUGUCUGUACGCCCUUGUACGUUAAUUGUGUGUCUGCCUUUGGACAGUUGUACUUCAAACCAAUUGGGUUGUACUGUUUGAAGUGCAAUGACCAUAAAGCUAUUCUAUUCUACUCACCUUCCUGAUACCCCAGAAACACACAAACCCAGAAAGCAGUGACAGCUUAGGUUCUGUAAUGUGGAGAUUCUUCUCUAGAUGUGGCUUGCCGGGUGAAGGACUCACCUGUUUCUAGAAAGAAGAGGGUUAACAUGCAUUAGAACUCACCUCCUGUUGUCGAGGAUGAACAAAGCAGAUCAGGAUUUACUAGUAAAAAUGCAAUUUUUGCCUCUUUGCGCUGUAAUUUGACCCCUUUAAAAUGAUUCAAAAGUCACCAAACUUGGCGCACAUAUAAGGACUGGUAAAUAUUGCGAUCUAAUGAAAAAACCAAACCCCAAAACUCAAAAUUUAGCGCUAUUUUUUAAUAAAACACUGAAAAAACUGCUCCUAGGAAGAAAACACAGACACAACUGCUUGUAACUUCCGGUAAGAAUGUCGGAGAGACAUGGAACAAAAACCUCUAUGUGGGUCUCGCUUAGACCUACAUUUCAUAGAUUGACAACCCCCAACAAAAAUCAACAGGAAGUUUGCAAUCCUUCCUUCAAAACAAAAGUUUUGUAAAAAACGGUCACCUUUCUUCAAACAUUAUCUCCUCUGAGUGCGUUUGUUGUUUUGGCUUCAAACUCGCACAGGAAAGAGAUUGAACCCUUCUGAUUAAAAGUAUAGAACAGAGUUUUGAUAAGUUUUUAGGUUUUGAUUUUACGCGCCUUCAAAGACCCCUUUGCAAAGUCUCCUGAAAAAUGUCAUUUUUGCCUCUUUGAGCUGUUAUUUGACCCCCUUAAAAUGCUUCUAAACUCACCAAACUUGACACACACAUCAGGUCUGGCAAAAAUUGCGAUCUGAUGAAAAAACCUAACCUCAAAACUCAAAAUUGGAUUCUACCGCCCCCUAGGAAUACAACACGGACAAACUGCUCCUAGGAAGAAAACACAGACAAAACUGCUUGUAACUUCCGGUAGGAAUGUCAGAGAGACAUGAAACAAAAACACUAUGUAGGUCUCACUUAGACCUACAUUUUAAUAAUUAACAUACUUUAGCAAAAAUCAACAGGAAGUUUGAUAUUUUCACUUCAAUACAACAACUGCAUUACUUUCACAAUUAGAUUCCCAAAAUAGUGGCUCCAAGGCGUCUUCUAACGCUUAUCCGGACGUGGGUCUCGGGGGCAGCAGCCAAAGGCGGGCCCGACAAACGCUGCUUGCAGCUUUAAUUACAGUUUGUCGCUACAUCUGUAAGGGCACGUUCAAACUCUACUAUGCCAAGGGACAACAACAACACCCGGAAAUGCCAGUUUAAGCCUGGGGGCAACAAGAAUUGCCAACCCAGCCUGUCGCCCGUGAUUUCCGCUGACGGGUCUGCCAACUUCCAGCGCCCCUUACAAAAAAGGUGAGAUACAGGUAUACCUUUGGACAGUUGUACUUCAAACCAAUUGUGUUGCACUGUUUGAAGUGCAAUGACCAUAAAGCUAUUCUAUUCUACUCACCUUCCUGAUACCCCAGAAACACACAAACCAAGAAAACGGUGACAGCUUAGGUUCUGUAAUGUGGAAAUUCUUCUCUAGAUGUGGCUUGCCAGGUGGAGGACUCACCUGUUUCUAGAAAGAAGAGGGUUAACAUGCAUUAGAACUCACCUCCAGUUUUUGAGGAUGAACAAAGCAGAUCAGGAUUUACUAGUAAAUAAAUGAGACGAGUCCAGAGGUGGGUAGUAACGCGCUACAUUUACUCCGUUACAUCUACUUGAGUAACUUUUGGGAUAAAUUGUACUUCUACGAGUAAUUUUUACGCAACAUACUUUUACUUUUACUUGAGUAUAUUUAUAGAGAAGAAACGCUACUUUUACUCCGUUCCAUUUAUCUACAUUAAGCUCGCUACUCACUGCUUUUUUUAAUCGAUCUAUUAGUGUUUGUUUUGGUUAAUGACAGAGCUUCAAAGUAUGAACUACAAAUGUCUGCGUUUCACCAAUCAAAUGCAGUCACUGGUGACGUUGGACCAAUCAAACAGAGCCAGGUGGUCACGUGACCGUAACACGUGGAACCCGACAUGUUGAAAAACUUAUUGGGGUGUUACCAUUUAGUGGUCAACUUUACGGAAUAUGUACUGUACUGUGCAAUCUACUAAUACAAGUUUCAAUCAAUCAAUCAAAAGUGUAAAGGAAAAAAGACACUUUUUAUUUCAACCGUACUUCCCGUCAAAAGCCUAAAGACUGAUCGCACAGUUCCUGUCUUCACAAUAAAAGCGGCGCUCCAUCGCGACUGCGCUAACAAAAUAAGAGUCUCUGAAAGCCAGCGCAAACAAGCUAAGAAGCUACGGAGUUUGCCGCCAAUGUAUUUCUUGUAAAGUGUAUAAAAACGAAUAUGGAAGCUGGACAAAUAAGAUGCCAAAAACCAACGACUUUCAUGUGGUAUUAGACAGGAAGGAGGAACUUUUUUUCUCCUCCAUUUGAACACGUGGACAUUAUCAGCACCACUGUCUGAUUCCAAUCAAUGCAAGUCAUCAGAAUCAGGUGUCAUCAGUGUUUGAACCUGACAUCUUCUUGGUCCUUCGAGCCGGAUUCCAACACGUCUGACGAUACCAGCAAGAGUGAGUGAAACCAGAAAGACCAUGGCAUCCAAAUCCUGAUUGAGGAACUGCUUUUUCUUUAAUUUUGGCUGGAAUUGGACGACUGACGGAAAACCGAGGACAAAAGGAAGGAAUGCAGAGUUCUCUAACUGUGGAGGGGGUGUGGCCUGCGGGCCUGCAGCGAAGCAGUGUGUGCCAGGACCGGCCUCGAAAUCAGCGACAGGUGCGCAGAUGGCCCAACUGGGCCU